ACAUCACCUCAUAUCCAAAUGAAAAAGAAAAUAAAGAAAAGCUGUCCUCGGCAAAGGGUACCCCGUCGCCUUUGGAGGACUUUCUGUGCCCUUCAAAGUGAAUUUAGAGGUUCUACACAA
ensembl:snoRNA